rnacentral:rRNA from 1 species
GAUGAACGCUGGCGGCGUGCUUAACACAUGCAAGUCGAACGGAAAGGCGCUGAGUUUGUGGGGUGCACGAUUGGGGAAGGCGGGAGUAACACGUGAGUAUCCUGCCCUUGUAUUUGGGAGAACAUCACGAAACUGGGGCUAAUACAGGAGAGGAGAUUCUGAUCCAUGGGGGGGGUUGGAAAGAUUCGGCGGUUGGGGAUGGACUUGCGGUUUAUGAGCUUGUUGGUGAGGUAGCUGCUUACCCAGGCUUCGAUGGGUACCCGACCUGAGAGGGGGAUCGGCCGCACUGGAACUGAGACACGGUCCAGACUACUACGGGAGGGAGCAGUCGGGAAUCUUACGCAAUGGUCGAAAACCUGACGCAGCAACGCCAAGUGAGUGACGACGGCCCUCGGUUCGUAAUGACCUCUUUCUAGUGAAAAACCGCUGUCGCCGGUGACGAAGCCUUAGUGACGGUAACUAAUAAAAAAGCACCGGCUAACUACGUG